rnacentral:lncRNA from 1 species
UUGGCACCUUAUAAACAGAAAACUAGCAUAUUUUUAAAUACAAAUUAACAAAUAAAAUUCUCAUUCUAAACAUAUUCACAUCAAAUGAUUUAUUUGGACAUGCAAACAGAUACUCAAUUUUAUUUGUAAAAUAAUUAUAAUUCAUGAAUCACUGACUGUAGUUAUCUAAAUUUAUCGACCUCCUAAGCUAUUUCUAGCCUCUCCCCCUCUCUCUUUCUGCCUCUCUCUCCUCUCCGUCCCUUCCUUUCGCAAACUUUUUUUUUUUAAUUUUAAUGCUUCAACUGUUUUAUUCUCGCAGCUAAAUUUAUUUUUUUAAUAAAUGAAAUGAAUAAUUUGCUAUUUUUAUGCAAAAGAAUAAUUUUUUUGGAAAAAUAAUUGUAAU